rnacentral:rRNA from 1 species
CUGCGCGUGCUUACACUGCAAGUCGAACGAGAACGGGUCAUAGCCUUGCUAUGAUUGUCAGCUAAGUAGCGGACGGGUGAGUAAUGUAUAGUUAAUCUGCCCCCUAGAGAGGGAUAACUACUGGAAACGGUAGCUAAUACCUCAUACUCCUUUUGCCUUAAUGGUAAUUGGGAAAUGUUUUUUCGCUAGGGGAUGAGACUAUAUGGUAUCAGGUAGUUGGUGGNNNNNNNN